GGAAGACAUUUUGAUAACAUUUAGGACUCCGAGGGUAAUACGAUGACAGCUCUGAUGGCCAUUCCAGAAAAUGUUCCAAAAUUGCUUUGAACGGUGGACUAGGCGCCAGCGUGGGUGCGGUGGACUAGGCGCCAGCGUGGGUGCGUAGCUUCCCUAGGGGAGUACUUCAAAGGUCACUGUAGUGAUAUUCAUCAAUGAGCUACUACUGUAUACUGUCAUUGUGGGAUAGAUGAGCCGUGCCCUUUGCCUGUGUCUCACUUUGGCCAAGGAGGUGUUAGCAGAUGUGAUACAAGCACACGCUUGGAGCAUGGUCACACAGCUGGGCCCCCUGAACUCCUGUGUCUCUGCCUUC